rnacentral:sRNA from 1 species
UGUAUCGGAAGCCUGACGAGGAUGAGAACCUCCGGGGGCAAGAGGUUCGACUCGAGCGCAGCGAGAGAACGUUGCGUCAGCAACGGCCCGCAGGGCGAGCCACGCAGUGGCGAGUCAUCCUCUAUCACCGGCA